rnacentral:rRNA from 1 species
UACGUAGGGCGCAAGCGUUGUCCGGAAUUAUUGGGCGUAAAGAGCUCGUAGGCGGCUUGUCACGUCGGGUGUGAAAGCCCGGGGCUUAACCCCGGGUCUGCAUUCGAUACGGGCUAGCUAGAGUGUGGUAGGGGAGAUCGGAAUUCCUGGUGUAGCGGUGAAAUGCGCAGAUAUCAGGAGGAACACCGGUGGCGAAGGCGGCGACCUGGACGGACACUGACGCUGAGGAGCGAAAGCGUGGGGAGCGAACAGG